GAUGAACGCUGGCGGCGUGCCUAAUACAUGCAAGUCGAGCGAACAGACGAUGAGCUUUCUCCUCUGACGUUAGCGGCGGACGGGUGAGUAACACGUGGAUAACCUACCUAUAAGACUGGGAUAACUUCGGGAAACCGGAGCUACUACCGGAUAAUAUAUUGAACCGCAUGGUUCAAUAGUGAAAGACGGUUUUGCUGUCACUUAUAGAUGAAUCCGCGCCGCAUUAGCUAGUUGGUAAGGUAACGGCUUACCAAGGCGACGAUGCGUAGCCGACCUGAGAGGGUGAUCGGCCACACUGGAACUGAGACACGGUCCAGACUCCUACGGGAGGCAGCAGUAGGGAAUCUUCCGCAAUGGGCGAAAGCCUGACGGAGCAACGCCGCGUGAGUGAUGAAGGUCUUCGGAUCGUAAAACUCUGUUAUUAGGGAAGAACAAAUGUGUAAGUAACUAUGCACGUCUUGACGGUACCUAAUCAGAAAGCCACGGCUAACUACGUG
rnacentral:rRNA from 1 species